AUGCCACUGAGUACGACCACAUCACCGACGACCCCUCUUCCUAUGCAACAGAGCUUCCAGGAGCCAGAGGAUCUCGAGGAUGAUUCUAUGUGGAGUUCAACUUCGAGGAGUAGUCAGGAGGUCCUAGGCAGGAGGCCUUGCCUUUUCGAUCAUUGCUACUUUUGUGCUAGCCUUCUUAAGGCAAACUUGUUUAACUUAUGUCUGUACUCAGAUAUUAUUUCUUCCGCUGACUCUUGUGUAUUCGAUCCCUCGAGGUCCUUAUUAUUUUAA
rnacentral:rRNA from 1 species